rnacentral:rRNA from 1 species
GACGAACGCUGGCGGCGUGCUUAACACAUGCAAGUCGAACGCUGAAGACCUGGCUUUUGUUGGGUUGGAUGAGUGGCGAACGGGUGAGUAACACGUGAGUAACCUGCCCUCUUCUUUGGGAUAACGCCCGGAAACGGGUGCUAAUACUGGAUAUUCACUGGCCUUCGCAUGGGGGUUGGUGGAAAGGUUUGUUCUGGUGGGGGAUGGGCUCGCGGCCUAUCAGCUUGUUGGUGGGGUGAUGGCCUACCAAGGCUUUGACGGGUAGCCGGCCUGGGAGGGUGACCGGUCACAUUGGGACUGGGAUACGGCCCAGACUCCUACGGGAGGCAGCAGUGGGGAAUAUUGCACAAUGGGCGAAAGCCUGAUGCAGCGACGCCGCGUGAGGGAUGGAGGCCUUCGGGGUGUAAACCUCUUUCGCUCAUGGUCAAGCCGCAACUGUGGGUUGUGGUGAGGGUAGUGGGUAAAGAAGCGCCGGCUAACUACGUG